rnacentral:lncRNA from 1 species
ACGCUCAUAUUUAAGAACCAUGAUCCCUUGCAAUGCAUUGUAUACACCAUAAAGAGUUGUAAAAUCGUUCAAUAGCCAACAUUAGGAAAUAGAUGACCUUCCACAAUAAUAUAUUAUAUAUGGCAUGUUGAUAAUCAUCCAUUUCCUGAUAGUGGCAAUCGAGCGUAAUACAGUACUCUGCACUAUACUCUGCACUAUAUAUGGUGCACCAUACAUGAUUUGUACUUUUUAUUUAAACGAGUCUAGAUUCUUUAUUAUGUGAUAAA